UACGUAGGGGGCAAGCGUUGUCCGGAUUUAUUGGGCGUAAAGAGCGUGUAGGCGGCCAGGUAGGUCUGCUGUGAAAACUCGAGGCUUAACCUCGAGAUGUCGGCGGAAACCAUCUGGCUAGAGUCCGGAAGAGGAGAGUGGAAUUCCUGGUGUAGCGGUGAAAUGCGCAGAUAUCAGGAAGAACACCAGUGGCGAAGGCGGCUCACUGGCCCGGUACUGACGCUGAGGUGCGAAAGCGUGGGGAGCAAACAGG
rnacentral:rRNA from 1 species